GUGAGUAACGCGUGGGAAUCUACCUGGUAGUGGAGGAUAACUCGAGGAAACUCGAGCUAAUACUGCGUACGCCCUACGGGGGAAAGCGGGGGAUCUUCGGACCUCGCGCUAUCAGAUGAGCCCGCGUCAGAUUAGCUUGUUGGUGAGGUAAAGGCUCACCAAGGCGACGAUCUGUAGCUGGUCUGAGAUGAUGAUCAGCCACA
rnacentral:rRNA from 1 species